UGCCCGGUAGUGUAAUGGUAGCACAGCAGCUUUUGGAGCUGCGUGUCUAGGUUCGAAUCCUGGCCGGGCAGCCA
rnacentral:tRNA from 1 species